UGCGACCGUGAGCGCUCGGCUCGAUUCGGCUUGGCGCAGGGUCAGCCCCGUAGAGCCAUGGACGGACACGCGGCUCCGGGCGCGGGCGGCGAGGAGCCGCUGAGCUCUGGCAGGAUGAACGCGAAGCGUGGCGGGCGCGCCGCGGAAGAGGAGAGCCGUAACAAGCUCAAGCUGAAUAUUCAAAUAAAAACUUUGGCAGAUGAUGUGCGUGACAGAAUCACAAGCUUCAGAAAAUCGGCAGUGAAAAGAGAGAAGCCUCUCAUUCAGCAUCCUAUUGACUCUCAGCUUUCCAUUAGCGAGAUCCCACAUGCCCAGGCACUUGUUGAUGAGCGCUGCAUGAACUUAUCAGAAAAAGAAGUUAUGGAUCUCUUUGAAAAAAUGAUGGAAGACAUGAACCUGAAUGAGGAACGUAAAGCUCCUUUACGAGACAAAGACUUGAGCACAAAACGUGAGAUGGUUAUCCAGUACAUUUCUGCAACUGCCAAAUCUAUAGUUGGAAAUAAAGUUCCGGGUGGACUAAAGAACAGCAAGCAUGAAUGUACCCUGUCCUCACAAGAAUAUAUCCAUGAACUGAGAUCUGGAAUUUCAGAUGAAAAACUUCUUAAUUGCCUGGAGUCUUUGAGAGUGUCUCUAACCAGCAAUCCAGUCAGCUGGGUUAACAAUUUUGGACUUGAAGGUCUUGGACUUCUGUUGGAUGCAUUGGAAAAGCUUCUGGACAAGAAACAGCAAGAAAGUAUUGAUAAGAAGAAUCAACAUAAACUUAUCCAGUGCCUCAAAGCAUUUAUGAACAAUAAAUACGGUUUGCAAAGGAUUCUAGGAGAUGAAAGAAGUCUCUUGCUAUUGUCAAGAGCAAUCGAUCCAAAGCAACCGCACAUGAUGACUGAGACAGUGAAAAUACUUUCGGCUAUCUGCAUUGUUGGAGAGGAAAACAUCUUGGACAAGCUUUUAGGUGCUAUAACAACUGCUGCUGAAAGGCACAGCAGGGAGGAGCGUUUCUCUCAGAUUGUUGAAGGCCUGGAGAACCACGAGUUCAUCCAGCUGCAGGUAGCAUGUAUGCAGCUCAUCAAUGCCCUUGUUACAUCUCCUGAUGAUCUUGAUUUCAGGAUACACUUGAGAAAUGAGUUUUUACGUUGUGGCCUGAAGAAAAUAUUGCCUGCAUUGAAAGAUAAGGAAAAUGACGAGCUUGAUAUUCAGCUGAGAGUAUUUGAUGAGAACAAAGAUGAAGACCACUUUGAACUGUCACAUCGUCUCAGUGAUAUCAAAGCUGAAAUGGAUGAUGUGAGCGAAGUAUUUCAUCUGCUGUAUAAUAUGGUGAAAGAUACUUCUUCUGAAAAUUACUUCUUGUCAAUUCUCCAACAUUUCCUUCUGAUCAGGAACGAUUACUAUGUCCGACCUCAGUAUUACAAGAUCAUAGAAGAAUGUGUGUCACAGAUAGUACUGCACUGCAGUGGCAUGGACCCAGAUUUUAAAUACAGAGGAAGGAUGGACAUUAAUUUUACACAUCUUGUUGAUGCAUGUGUGGACAAAGCUAAAGUAGAAGAGAGUGAAAAGAAAGCAGCAGAUUUAUCUAGAAAGUUUGAUGAAGAGUUCACAGCUCGACAAGAGGCACAAGCAGAGCUGCAGAAACGAGAAGAGAAAAUCAAAGAACUUGAAACAGAAGUCAAACAGCUCCAGACCCAGGGUCCAGGCCUGACAGAAGUCCCAGCAGUACCUCCAGCCCUCCCAAGUGAGACUGCCCCACCAUCUCCAGUGCCUUCACUCCCUGGUGGAACCAUCCCUCCUCCUCCCCUCCCUGGUGGAGGAACAAUUCCUCCUCCUCCCCUGCCUGGAGGACCAACAAUUCCUCCUCCUCCCCUGCCAGGUGGAGCAGUAAUUCCUCCCCCCCCUCCAUUACCUGGUGCAUCACUUCCUCCACCGCUGCCUCCUCUGCCCGGUGGAGCCAUCCCAUUGCCCCCUCCUCUGCCCGGUGUGCCCCCACCACCUCCCCUGCCUGGGGGAGAAGGGCCUCCUCCUCUGCCCAGGGGAGCAGUCCCUCCACCGCCACCUUUCGGGGGGCCCCCGAUGCCACCCCCUCUCGGAGGGGUUCCCUUUGCUCCCUUCCCAGUGGCGCCAGCAUUGCCACACGGGAUGAAGGAGAAGAAGAAGUAUAAGCUGGAAGUCUCCAUGAAGAGAAUCAACUGGUCAAAGAUUGAGCCUCAAGAAAUAGGAGAAAACAGCUUUUGGGUAAAAGCUGAAGAAGAUAAAUUCGAAGACCCAGAGCUGUUUGCAAAAUUGGCACUUACCUUUGGAACCCAAAUGAAAGCCAAAAAGCCUGUAGAAGAAUCAGAAGAAAAGAAAGCAGCUCAGUCAAAGAAGAAGAUGAAAGAAUUAAGAGUUUUGGAUGGAAAAUCUGCACAAAAUUUAUCAAUAUUUUUGGGUUCCUUCCGUUUGCCUUAUGAAGAAAUAAAAAAUAUUAUUUUAGAGGUUGACGAGGAGAAGCUGAGUGAAUCCUUGAUUCAGAACCUGGUGAAGAAUCUUCCUGAGCAGAAAGAACUCAAUACCUUAGCUGAGUUAAAGGAUGAAUAUAACGAUCUUGCUGAGCCAGAGCAAUUUGGAGUUGUGAUGAGCUCAGUGAAGAUGCUGCGGGCACGGCUCAACGGGAUCCUGUUCCGGCUCAUGUUCGAGGAGCAUGUGAACAACAUCAAACCUGACAUCAUGGCAGUGACCCUGGCCUGCGAGGAGCUCAAGAAGAGUGAAAGCUUCAGCAAGCUCCUGGAGUUGGUGCUGUUCCUGGGCAACUACAUGAACUCAGGCUCCAGAAACGCACAAUCUCUUGGCUUCAACAUCAGCUUUCUCUGCAAGAUUCGAGAUACAAAAUCAUCAGAUCAGAAAACCACCUUGUUGCAUUUUCUGGCAGAAAUCUGUGAGGAGAAUUACCGGGAUAUCUUAAAAUUUCCAGAUGAAUUGCAGCAUGUUGAGAGUGCAAGCAAAGUUUCAGCCCAGACUCUGAAGAGCAACCUUGACUCGAUGAACCAGCAGAUCCAGCACCUAGAGAAGGACCUUGAGAAUUUCCCUAAAACCCAGGAUGAACACGAUAAGUUUGUAGAGAAGAUGAGCAUAUCCUUUUUGCAUGUCCUCACUGGUGAUCUGAGCAUUCUGAUCUUCUGCUUAAGUGUUUACAGCACUUGAAAAUAGGUUUUAAGUCUCUUUUCAUGUAUUUCUUCUAGAGCAGAAAAAAGCAGCAGUGGACAUGGUGAAUAUAAGCAGAGAACUGAAAGCAUUAUAAUCAGAUUUUCAAGGGGUACCCAGACAGCUUUCCUGAAGGAAGUAGUUACAGUGAGCAGCCAAACAGUAUGGGGAUUUUUUUUUUCUGUCUGAAAGAAUUAUUGAAUCAAUUUUAGAACAAUAACAGCUGUAAAGUUGAUAUAUUUAUUAUUUUAGCUCCAGAUGUCGUGUUUUUUGAAGGGCAGAGUAAUGAUUUUGUUAAUGGUUUUAAGUUACAUUAUUACAUCAUUUUAGGGGAAUAUUUACAUUUGUUUUCACUCCAAAGUGUAAUGUCCUUUAAUUUCUGUAGAGAAUAGAGACUGUGGAUUCUUUAAGCACUACCAAGUAAAAUCUGUGGGGGACUGUAAUAUGAUGUCUGUCUAGCUUGUUUUUGUAUAUCCAGCUUUCAUUUUGUUCAAAAGUUUAAAGUAACAAGUCUACUGAAGAUACAAGAAGCUCAAAAAAGUGCAGCAAAGAGUGAGAAAAAGCUCUUUUUUAAAAAAAAAGAAAAAACGAAUUUCCCAGGAUUUUAUUGUGCACAAAUCCCAGCUCUGUGUGGAAAUAUGGGAGCGUUUGGAGUGUGGUGCUUGACCAAGUCCAAGGCAUUUUGUGCAUUUCCAGAAGCUCAGGUAAUUCCUGUGAUAUCACUCCUUCCUUGCUGCAACAGGAGUCGUGACAAAAGUUGUGGGGUUUUGGGGUUUUUCAGAGGAAAGGGAAAGGAUGAGAUUGAUGUUUAGAUCCAUUCACAGCUGCUCAUCAUGUUUGGUAGGUGGAUGUAAUGAAGACUUCUCCCCACUGCUGUGUCUGUGCAAAGUCAGUUUUUGGCAGUAUUUACCAUCUGAAUGGAGUCAGUGACAGAAUUUCACAAGCAGAUAUUUAACAUCUCUGUAUGGAUUUCAGUUUCUGACAACACUGCUGGAAAGUAGCUUAAGGGAGGCAACUCCUGACUAAGUGGAAAAUUGUUUCUUAUUCCUUCCAUCUUCCCUUUCACCUUGUCUUAUGUGCAAGGUUAAGAGACUUGCUGCUGGUAAUCACUUUUAUCAGUUCUGCUAUUAAACAAAGCUCAUUAUUAUAUUCCUGAGAUUCAUUCACAUGAGAAAAACUUUCAAUAUUGCCUUGUAAUUGUCUUGUGCCUUGUCACCUCAUCAGAGGCUGAAUUCUGUGCCCAUUUUUGUUCAUAAAUUAAACCAAUUUAUGAAAUGCACCUUUACCACUGUUUUUUUCUUGUUAAGUUUGACAGCUCUGCUUUCCAGGUUACAGAAAUAAUUGUUCAGUUGUAUUUUUGUUUUGCUGCCUAUGUUUACUUACAGACAUGAUUAGCAUCACUCAGAUGACUUGGUGAAGAAAAAGAGCCAAGUAGAUAAUUAACAUUUUGCUCUCUGCAGCUUGUCACCUGGAUUUCUUAGAGAAGAAAAAGUUUCUGACAAUGCAAAAGAGUAUAAAAACCCCAAAACUUACUAAUGUUUCUUUGUAUUGGCCAAAACAGGAGGAGACUAUGAAAUGUUUGAAAAUUAAUUAUUCCCAGUGUCCUGGGCAGGCUGGCUUCAGUGCAUGGAUGUUGACUCCCAGGUAGAUUGCAAGCCCUGGAACUGAACCAAGCGCCCAGAACUGUGCAUGCCUGCCUGCUUUUAUCAGCCCUGGGACUUUGGGGGCUUGGCAAAAGAGAAAAGCCUAAAGUCAUCUCCCCUAAGAUCAAGUGGUCAAGUUUGUUUCUGCUUAUCACUGAAUAUUUUCCUACACUCCUAUAAUUUUAUUAGAUUGAAGAAUCAUUUUUGAGGGUGUAAAAAUGACACCCUAGUCUGCAGUAUGUAUUUCUUUGAUUUCCUCAGCUGCCUGAAGAUUUGUUGGUGAUGGCACAUCCUGAGGUUAGAAAGUUACAGAAUUUCAGGCUGAACAUCUCUGAGUGUUUCAGAAAAUUUGAGAUGUCUCAGUAGAGUUUUAGGAUGCAGCAAUUAUAAUAUUCAAGGCAUAGUUUCUCGUUCCUGUCAUAAACAAAGCUAUUUACCAGUAGUUGGGGAUGAGAAUUUCUUCAGAGGAUGUGAGAGUGAUACUGCUUGGAGUAUCAGAUUAAUGUAGGAGGCCAGUGACAAGAAAAAUACCCUUCAUAAUGUGAAUUUGUAAUAAUGAAAUUAAUAUUCAAAAUACAGAAGCAAAUGAUGUCAAACAAUUUAAGUAAUUUUAGUUUUUCUAACUUUUUUUAGCAAACAAGAUUUGGUACUGUGAGGGACAAAAAGAUGAAUAGAAAUUCUACCCACAUUUUCAUUUUGGAUUUUUUUCUUGGUCAGUUUCUAAGCAAAAUAAAUUUCCCU